rnacentral:rRNA from 1 species
AUUGAACGCUGGCGGCAUGCUUUACACAUGCAAGUCGGACGGCAGCACAGAGAAGCUUGCUUCUUGGGUGGCGAGUGGCGAACGGGUGAGUAAUAUAUCGGAACGUACCGAGUAAUGGGGGAUAACUAAUCGAAAGAUUAGCUAAUACCGCAUAUUCUCUGAGGAGGAAAGCAGGGGACCUUCGGGCCUUGCGUUAUUCGAGCGGCCGGUAUCUGAUUAGCUAGUUGGUGGGGUAAAGGCCUACCAAGGCGACGAUCAGUAGCGGGUCUGAGAGGAUGAUCCGCCACACUGGGACUGAGACACGGCCCAGACUCCUACGGGAGGCAGCAGUGGGGAAUUUUGGACAAUGGGCGCAAGCCUGAUCCAGCCAUGCCGCGUGUCUGAAGAAGGCCUUCGGGUUGUAAAGGACUUUUGUCAGGGAAGAAAAGGCUGUUGCUAAUACCGACAGCUGAUGACGGUACCUGAAGAAUAAGCACCGGCUAACUACGUGCCAGCAGCCGCGGUAAUACGUAGGGUGCGAGCGUUAAUCGGAAUUACUGGGCGUAAAGCGAGCGCAGACGGUUACUUAAGCAGGAUGUGAAAUCCCCGGGCUCAACCUGGGAACUGCGUUCUGAACUGGGUGACUAGAGUGUGUCAGAGGGAGGUAGAAUUCCACGUGUAGCAGUGAAAUGCGUAGAGAUGUGGAGGAAUACCGAUGGCGAAGCAGCCUCCUGGGAUAACACUGACGUUCAUGCUCGAAAGCGUGGGUAGCAAACACG